rnacentral:rRNA from 1 species
GACAGAGGAUGCAAGCGUUAUCCGGAAUGAUUGGGCGUAAAGCGUCUGUAGGUGGCUUUUUAAGUCUGCCGUCAAAUCCCAGGGCUUAACCCUGGACAGGCGGUGGAAACUACCAAGCUGGAGUACGGUAGGGGCAGAGGGAAUUUCCGGUGGAGCGGUGAAAUGCGUAGAUAUCUGGAGGAACACCGGUGGCGAAGGCGACAUCCUGGACCGGUAUUGACGCUGAGGCGCGAAAGCCAGGGGAGCAAACGGG